GCGGGAAGUGGGGGUCGCGGCGGGGGCGCCCGGGAACACAAUGGGCGCUUGUGUGCCGAUGCGGCAGCCGGCGCCCUGAGCAGACACCGCCCUGUUCCGGCCGCACACCGUGUCCUGGGCCGGGCGGCCGCGGCGCCGGGCCUGCGGGGAGGGCGCAGCAGGGCUGGGCACGCGCGGAGGCUGGAGCGUCCCGCCCGCCGGGCUCCCCGCGGCUCCACUGUGGCCGCCCCACCAGGCCCCCCGGCUCCUCUCUCAGGGGGUGGCCGUGGCCUGUGUCCCUCAGCCCGUGUCCCAGGGCCUGGCCAUCCUGGCUCCGUGUGGCAACUGGACUCAGAGGCCAGCCGACCCCGGCACAGGGCCCAGCCCAGGCCCUCUCGGAGAAGUUCAAAAAAGGAAAAGAAGGACUCCCCUGGUGGCGCAGUGGUUAAGAAUCCGCCUGCUAAUGCAGGGGACACGGGUUCGAGCCCUGGUCUGGGAAGAUCCCACAUGCCGCGGAGCAACUAAGCCCAUGCGCCACAACUACAGAGCCUGCGCUCUAGAGCCCGUGAGCCACAACUACUGAGCCCACGAGCCACAACUACUGAGCCCGCGUGCCUAGAGCCUGUGCUCCACAAAAAGAGAAGCUACCGCAAUGAGAAGCCCGCGCACCACAACAAAGAGUAGCCCCCGCUCGCCCCAACUAGAGAAAAGCCCAUGCGCAGCAACGAAGACCCAAUGCAGCCAAAAAUAAAUAAAUAAAAUAAAUAAAUUCAAAAAAAAAAAAAGGAAAAGAAGAACUUCCCUGGUGGUCCAGUGGUUAAGAGUCUGCACUUCCACUGCAGGGGGCGUGGGUUCGAUCCCUGGGUGGGGAAAUUCCGCAUGCUGUGGAGUGAGGCAAAAAAAUUUUAAAAAAAGGAAAAGAAGAUCUGGUCUUGAUUCAGAGGAGAGGAGCCCUCAAGACCAGCUCCAGCUCCACCCAAUAAAAAGUGAAUUCACAUGGGUGGCUCAAUUCUCACCGGCGAGGAGGGGCCCCACGGAUGGUGCCGCUCUGGACCCUCGCUGGGGUUCGGGAGCCUGUUAGAAAUGCAGAACGCCAACCAAAGACUCACUGGCCGCCCUGGUGAUCCCAGGGCACCUUUGAGUUCCCAAGCCUGGGGCUGGGGGCCUCGAGGUGGUGGGGAGAUAUGCCCAGGAAAUGUCUUUUUUUAAAAAAAAAUACAUAUUUUAAUUGUUAAAUGUAACAUACAUGCAGAAA